AUACGGAGGGUGCAAGCGUUAAUCGGAAUUACUGGGCGUAAAGCGCGCGUAGGUGGUUUGAUAAGUCGGAUGUGAAAGCCCCGGGCUCAACCUGGGAACUGCAUUCGAUACUGCCUGGCUAGAGUAUGGUAGAGGGAAGUGGAAUUCCGGGUGUAGCGGUGAAAUGCGUAGAUAUCCGGAGGAACACCAGUGGCGAAGGCGACUUCCUGGACCAAUACUGACGCUGAGGUGCGAAAGCGUGGGGAGCAAACAGGAUUAGAAACCCCGGUAGUCC
rnacentral:rRNA from 1 species